rnacentral:rRNA from 1 species
GACGAACGCUGGCGGCGUGCCUAAUACAUGCCAGUCGAAUGAGAGCAACCGGUGCUUGCACUGGUCAAUCUAGUGGCGAACGGGUGAGUAACACGUGGGUAACCUGCCCAUCAGAGGGGGAUAACAUCCGGAAACGGAUGCUAAAACCGCAUAGGUCUUCGAACCGCAUGGUUUGAAGAGGAAAAGAGGCGCAAGCUUCUGCUGAUGGAUGGACCCGCGGUGCAUUAGCUAGUUGGUGAGGUAACGGCUCACCAAGGCCGUGAUGCAUAGCCGACCUGAGAGGGUGAUCGGCCACAUUGGGACUGAGACACGGCCCAAACUCCUACGGGAGGCAGCAGUAGGGAAUCUUCCGCAAUGGACGCAAGUCUGACGGAGCAACGCCGCGUGAGUGAAGAAGGUUUUCGGAUCGUAAAACUCUGUUGUUAGAGAAGAACAAGUGCUAGAGUAACUGUUAGCGCCUUGACGGUAUCUAACCAGAAAGCCACGGCUAACUACGUG